GAAAGAUUACAGUUUAUAAAAGUCAUUUGCGACAAAUACAAUGUUGACAGACUUGGGAUUAAAUCGCACUGAUUCAAUAAAAGAAAUUAUGGAAAAGCCAGUGGAUCGCUGGAGAGAGACCCGACGAGAACCCUGACUGUUUUCAACAGAGAUAGAAGAAAAGAAGAAAACACAGCAAACGGAAGCUUGACAAUAAAGAGUGAUGGACAAGGAGGAAGCCAGCUUGCUGUUAGACAGGGAAGCCAUUUAGCUGUUUAGCAGCUAAAUGUUUUUUUUCUUUUCUGAUUUUGAAUCACGCAUUAUAAAAAACGGGAAGUAAAACAAUUUAAGUUAUA